rnacentral:rRNA from 1 species
AUACGUAGGGGGCGAGCGUUGUCCGGAAUGAUUGGGCGUAAAGGGCGCGUAGGCGGCGCGGUAAGUCUGGAGUGAAAGUCCUGCUUUCAAGGUGGGAAUUGCUUUGGAUACUGCCGCGCUUGAGUGCAGGAGAGGUUAUCGGAAUUCCCGGUGUAGCGGUGAAAUGCGUAGAGAUCGGGAGGAACACCAGUGGCGAAGGCGGGUAACUGGACUGCAACUGACGCUGAGGCGCGAAAGUGUGGGGAGCAAACAGGAUUAGAUACCCUGGUAGUCCACACUGUAAACGAUGAAUGCUAGGUGUAGGAGGUAUCGACCCCUUCUGUGCCGCAGUAAACACAAUAAGCAUUCCGCCUGGGGAGUACGGCCGCAAGGUUGAAACUCAAAGGAAUUGACGGGG